rnacentral:rRNA from 1 species
AGAGUUUGAUCCUGGCUCAGGACGAACGCUGGCGGCGUGCCUAACACAUGCAAGUCGAGCGAAGUGCUUGGAGAUGAUUUCUUCGGACUGAUUCACCAAGUAUCUUAGCGGCGGACGGGUGAGUAACGCGUGAGAAACCUGCCUUUCACAAAGGGAUAGCCUCGGGAAACUGGGAUUAAUACCUUAUGAAACUGUAUUACCGCAUGGUAGAACAGUCAAAGCGCUUAAGCGGUGAGAGAUGGUCUCGCGUCCCAUUAGCUAGUUGGUGAGAUAAAAGCCCACCAAGGCGACGAUGGGUAGCCGGCCUGAGAGGGUGGGCGGUCACACUGGGACUGAGAUACGGCCCAGACUCCUACGGGAGGCAGCAGUGGGGGAUUUUGCACAAUGGGCGCAAGCUUGAUGCAGCGACGCCGCGUGAGGGAUGAGGGCCUUCGGGUUGUAAACCUCUUUCGCUGGGUUGAGAGGCCAUGCUUUGGGUGUGGUUGAUUUGAACCGGUAAAGAAGUACCGGCUAACUACGUGCCAGCCGCCGCGGUAAUAC